rnacentral:rRNA from 1 species
GACGUAGGGCGCGAGCGUUGUCCGGAAUUAUUGGGCGUAAAGAGCUUGUAGGCGGUUUGUCGCGUCUGCUGUGAAAAUCCGGGGCUCAACUCCGGACUUGCAGUGGGUACGGGCAGACUGGAGUGUGGUAGGGGAGACUGGAAUUCCUGGUGUAGCGGUGGAAUGCGCAGAUAUCAGGAGGAACACCGAUGGCGAAGGCAGGUCUCUGGGCCGCUACUGACGCUGAGAAGCGAAAGCAUGGGGAGCGAACAGG